UACGGGGGGAGCAAGCGUUGUUCGGAUUUACUGGGCGUAAAGGGCGCGUAGGCGGCGUGACAAGUCACUUGUGAAAUCUCCGGGCUUAACCCGGAGCGGCCAAGUGAUACUGUCGUGCUAGAGUGCGGAAGGGGCUACUGGAAUUCUCGGUGUAGCGGUGAAAUGCGUAGAUAUCAGGAGGAACACCGGUGGCGAAGGCGCCUAUCUGGCCCGAUACUGACGCUGAGGCGCGAAAGCUAGGGGAGCAAACGGG
rnacentral:rRNA from 1 species